GACGAACGUUAGCGGCGCGCCUAACACAUGCAAGUCGAACGCGAGAGGUGCAACUCUCCUGAGUGGCGCACGGGUGAGUAACACGUAGGUAAUCUUCCCCCGAGUGGUGGAUAACCUUCCGAAAGGAGGGCUAAUACAGCAUAAGACCACGGCCUCGAAAGAGGCUGAGGUCAAAGCGGAGGAUCGCAAGACUUCGCGCUUGGGGAUGAGCCUGCGGCCCAUCAGGUAGUUGGCGGGGUAACAGCCCACCAAGCCUAAGACGGGUAGCUGGUCUGAGAGGAUGAUCAGCCACACUGGAACUGAGACACGGUCCAGACUCCUACGGGAGGCAGCAGUGGGGAAUCUUGCGCAAUGGACGAAAGUCUGACGCAGCGACGCCGCGUGGGUGAUGAAGGCCUUCGGGUUGUAAAGCCCUGUGGGGAGGGACGAAUAAGUUCCGGUUAAUACCCGGAGCGAUGACGGUACCUCCUUAGCAAGCACCGGCUAACUCUGUGCCAGCAGCCGCCGUAAGAC
rnacentral:rRNA from 1 species